GCGGGGGUUCCCGAGUGGCCAAAGGGGGCAGGCUUAGGACCUGCUGGACAAGUCCUACGUGGGUUCGAAUCCCACCCCCCGCACCA
rnacentral:tRNA from 1 species